UACGAAGGCAGCAGGGGGAAUAUUGCACAAUGGGCGCAAGCCUGAUGCAGCCAUGCCGCGUGUAUGAAGAAGGCCUUCGGGUUGUAAAGUACUUUCAGUCGUGAGGAAGGUGUUAAGGUUAAUAACCUUAGCAAUUGACGUUAGCGACAGAAGAAGCACCGGCUAACUCCGUGCCAGCAGCCGCGGUAAUACGGAGGGUGCGAGCGUUAAUCGGAAUUACUGGGCGUAAAGGGCACGCAGGCGGUUAAUUAAGUUGGAUGUGAAAUCCCCGGGCUUAACCUGGGAAUGGCAUUCAAGACUGGUUAGCUAGAGUCUUGUAGAGGGGGUAGAAUUCCAUGUGUAGCGGUGAAAUGCGUAGAGAUGUGGAGGAAUACCGGUGGCGAAGGCGGCCCCUGGACAAAGACUGACGCUCAUGUGCGAAAGCGUGGGGAGCAAACAGGGAUUAGAUACC
rnacentral:rRNA from 1 species